rnacentral:rRNA from 1 species
GACGAACGCUGGCGGCGUGCUUAACACAUGCAAGUCGAACGGAGAAGCCCUUCUUUUGUGAGUUGCUCGGGUGGCGAACGGGUGGGGAACACGAGAGUAACCUACCCUGCACUUUGGUAUAACUUCAGGGCACUGAGGCUUAGACCGUAUGGGAGCUCCUGCUGCAUGCUGGGGGUUGGAAUGUUUCAGCUGUUGGGGAUGGAUGGGGGGGUUUUGAGGUUGUUGGUGGGGUUGUGGCUUACAUAGGCUUUGACGGGUGGCCGGCCUGAGAGGGUGACCGGCCACAUUGGGACUGAGAUACGGCCCAGACUCGUAGGGUAGGGAGCAGUGGGGAAUAUUGUAAAAUGGGCGGAAGGCGGAUGCAGCAACGCCGCGUGCGGGAUGACGGCCUUCGGGUUGUAAAGCGCUUCCGCCUGGGACGAAGCGUGAUUGACGGUAAUGGGUAAAGAAGCACCGGCUAACUACGUG